GUACUGAUGAGGAGUCCCACAAUAGGACGAAACGGCCGUCCAGUGC
rnacentral:hammerhead_ribozyme from 1 species